rnacentral:rRNA from 1 species
GGGUCAGUAGGUUGGUCGUGCCACCGGUACGUACUGGUCUCACUGAUUCCUCCUUCCUGAAGAACCGUAAUGCCAUUAAUUUGGUGUUGCGGGGAAGCAGGACUGUUACUUUGAAAAAGUUAGAGUGUUUAAAGCAAGCUAACGCUUGAAUACAUUAGCAUGGAAUAAUGAAAUAGGACGAUCGAUCCUAUUUUGUUGGUUUCUAGGAUUGACGUA